AAAACAAUCCAUAUAUUUUAUUAUACUUAGAAAGGCAGGAAAACAUGUUUUUUUUACAGUUUGUGCUGAAAGUUCAUUUUGCAACAACACAUAUAACAAAGAGAGAGUAGAAAGGCUUAAGCACUGGUCUUGAUAAUUUCAUCAUCUGCAUAACUUGCUUUCGGCUCGCCCUUGAUAUCCGUUUCUUGGAAAUAAUCCUCACGAGCGUUAUCAGCCAACAUCAAAGCCACCAACCAGAAGAGCGCGGAAUCAAGAGACAAGAAGGCACCUCCACCUAGAAGACCGGUCUUGGCAGUUGGGCAAUCGGUCUGCAAGUUGUGAUGAAUGUUGCGUGUGAUAUGAAGUUGCUCGGUGAUUGUAGGCCACAACAACAAUGUUGCUGCUAAACCAGUUGUGCCCAAUGCAAUAUUUAAGAACACGAGGAAACUAGUGUUUCUCAGCAAAGCAGCUUGUGGAACUGACUUUCCUUGAUACGGAUAAAACAAAGACAGAAAACCGGCCACAGAAGAUGCAGCAAGAAAAACAAAAGACAAAUAGCCCAAGGCAACAGUAGGAUCAGACUUGUAUUUACAAAUAACAACGCCUUUUCCUGAUAUUGCAGUCCCAGCUGCAGGCUUCUUGUUUUCAGCUAUAACUCCAAAUAUAAAGGAUAAAACACCAAGGGUUGCUAUUAUCAUAGACAUCUGCUUCAUACCAAUCGCCAUUGGACCUCCAAGCUCUCAGCGACUACCCUUUUGGAAGAUUAGUUCUAUGGAGAAGAAAAAUGAUAAUUCUGCAGAUCUGUUGAUCUUUUUUUUGUGUGUAUUUAAAGGAAAAUCAAAGUUUU
rnacentral:misc_RNA from 1 species